UACGUAGGGUGCGAGCGUUAAUCGGAAUUACUGGGCGUAAAGCGCACGUAGGCGGGUCGUUAAGUCAGUGGUGAAAUCCCGGAGCUCAACUCCGGAACUGCCUUUGAUACUGGCGACCUUGAGAUCGGGAGAGGUGAGUGGAAUUCCGAGUGUAGAGGUGAAAUUCGUAGAUAUUCGGAAGAACACCAGUGGCGAAGGCGGCUCACUGGCUCGAUACUGACGCUGAGGUGCGAAAGCGUGGGGAGCAAACAGG
rnacentral:rRNA from 1 species